GCGGGCGUGGCGGAACUGGUAGACGCGCUAGGUUUAGGUCCUAGUGACCGACAGGUNGUGGGGGUUCGAGUCCCUUCGCCCGCACCA
rnacentral:tRNA from 1 species